rnacentral:misc_RNA from 1 species
GAUGAAGAACGUAGCGAAAUGCGAUAAGUAAUGUGAAUUGCAGAAUUCAGUGAAUCAUCGAAUCUUUGAACGCACCUUGCACCCUUUGGCAUUCUGAAGGGUAUGCUCGUUUGAGUGUCAUUGUACUCUCACACUCCCGAUCUUUGCAUUGGGAGCAGUGGACUUGGGUUUGCUGCUUCACCGUCGCUUACCUCAAAUAGGUUAGUGCAACUCUUGGUUGGACAUAGUACGGCGUGUUAGUGUUCUUCGCCGGUGCCUCGCAAAGAGGGUGGCCGAUCGGGAUGUUGUGCUCCAAACCGUCUUCGGACAAUCUCUGACGACUUGACCUCAAAUCGAGUAAGACUACCCGCUGAACUUAAGCAUAUCAAUAAGCGGAGGA